CUACCCCAACACUUUACCUAAUGUGGAUUACAAAGAGUAUAACGUCUUAGUUUCUUGUACUCUAUUCUCUCUUCAGUUUACAGUUGCUGGGUCAGGGUACUGCAUCUCCAUAGAAAAUGUAGAAUCAUCUUACAGAGUCCAUACAGCGAGAGCCCGUAGCCUCUACCAGGGGUUUCCUAAGACAACUGAAGAAAGAAAUGACUGGGCAUGUGGUUGACGCUGCCCUGGAUGUGGAGACAGACUGGUGAGGAACUGGCAAAACUACAGCGUUAAGUUCUCUGACAUGUGGAUGUUGCCUGUAUUUCAAGUCACGCCAGAAUUUAUUAUCACAGUACUAAAGGUUUUCUGAUGACAAAUGAGUCUUGUAAUUCUUUUAUUCAAGUAAUUCAUAUAUAUUUGUUUUUCUUAAAUAAUAUUUAUAAAAUUAUUUUAUUGUAUAUUGAUAUUGUGAUCUGUUUAUGCUAAUACUUUUUCAUAUGUUUGAUUAAAUUGCCUAUGUACUUAUUGUAUUGUCUAGAAGUCUACUUAUCUCGUUGUCAUUCUUAUGCCUUUCUUCUCUUACAUUUUUGCAUCAUUGAGAACCUUCUAACAUAAUCUUGAAUAGAGGAGACAGUGCAAACAGCAAAUUUUAGUUCCUUGGCACUGUAGCCAUAUGAUUCUUGCAGUUCAACUCCUUAGGAAGCACAUAUAGGCUAGCUGUAUUGAUACUUCAUAUGUUGAUUAAAUUUUUUUGUGAACCCAUGGAAAGUAUGUAAUUUAUUUAUUGUCACCUAUGGAACCUAUGGAUUUUUGACUUAGUGUAUGUACCAACAAGGAUAUAUAUGGUAUACCAUUACAUAUAAAUUAUAUAUAAUUUGUAUAUAAACAUAUAAUAAAAUUUAUG